GCGGGAAGGUGGCGGCCACCGGGCUUCCGGUGACCGCCACCUUCCUGC
rnacentral:pre_miRNA from 1 species